rnacentral:rRNA from 1 species
UACGUAGGGUGCGAGCGUUAAUCGGAAUACUGGGCGUAAAGCGUGCGCAGGCGGUUAUGCAAGACAGAUGUGAAAUCCCCGGGCUCAACCUGGGAACUGCAUUUGUGACUGCAUCGCUGGAGUGCGGCAGAGGGGGAUGGAAUUCCGCGUGUAGCAGUGAAAUGCGUAGAUAUGCGGAGGAACACCGAUGGCGAAGGCAAUCCCCUGGGCCUGCACUGACGCUCAUGCACGAAAGCGUGGGGAGCAAACAGG